rnacentral:rRNA from 1 species
GACGAACGCUGGCGGCGUACUUAACACAUGCAAGUCGAGCGGUAAGGCCUUUCGGGGUACACGAGCGGCGAACGGGUGAGUAACACGUGGGUGACCUGCCCUGCACUCUGGGAUAAGCCUGGGAAACUGGGUCUAAUACCGGAUAUGACUACAUGCUGCAUGGUGUGUGGUGGAAAGAUUUAUCGGUGCAGGAUGGGCCCGCGGCCUAUCAGCUUGUUGGUGGGGUAAUGGCCUACCAAGGCGACGACGGGUAGCCGACCUGAGAGGGUGACCGGCCACACUGGGACUGAGACACGGCCCAGACUCCUACGGGAGGCAGCAGUGGGGAAUAUUGCACAAUGGGCGGAAGCCUGAUGCAGCGACGCCGCGUGAGGGAUGAAGGCCUUCGGGUUGUAAACCUCUUUCAGCAGGGACGAAGCGUGAGUGACGGUACCUGCAGAAGAAGCACCGGCUAACUACGUGCCAGCCGCCGCCGUAA